UACAGAGGGUGCGAGCGUUAAUCGGAGUUACUGGGCGUAAAGGGCGCGUAGGCGGUGAGAUGGGUGUGAUGUGAAAGCCCUGGGCUUAACCUAGGAAGUGCAUCGCAAACUAUCUGACUGGAGUAUAUGAGAGGGCGGCGGAAUUUCCGGUGUAGCGGUGAAAUGCGUAGAGAUCGGAAGGAACGUCGAUGGCGAAGGCAGCUGCCUGGCAUAAUACUGACGCUGAGGCGCGAAAGCGUGGGGAGCGAACAGG
rnacentral:rRNA from 1 species